GACGAACGCUGGCGGCGUGCCUAAUACAUGCAAGUAGAACGCAGUUGCGAACGGGUGAGUAACGCGUAGGUAACUGCCUCAUAGCGGGGGACAACUAUUGGAAACGAUCGCUAAUACCGCCUACUGUGAGAUUGACCUGCGUUGUAUUAGCUGGUUGGUGAGGUAAAGGCUCACCAAGGGGACGAUACAUACCCGACUUGGGAGGGGGAUUGGGCCAAAUGGGACUGAGACACGGGCCAGACUCCUACGGGAGGCAGCAGUAGGGAAUCUUCGGCAAUGGACGGAAGUCUGACCCAGGAACGCCGCGUGAGUGAAGAAGGUUUUCGGAUCGUAAAGCUCUGUUGUUAGAGAAACGGUAACUAACCAGAAAGGGACGGCUAACUACGUGCCAGCAGCCGCGGUAAUAC
rnacentral:rRNA from 1 species